rnacentral:lncRNA from 1 species
GAAGGUACGUCUGAACCUAGUACUGGGCGAACUGGGAGUGAGAAAUGGAAAGGGAGUUAGCAGUUACUGUCUGAGCAAGAGUGGCAGUAGCUUCCUUCUGCGGACAGAUGGCACCCUGAAGGAACGAGGCCCUGCUCGGAGACCAGACUCGGGAAAACAGGACGCAGGGCCCCUUGGCCUAGCUUCGAUCGUUCGAAUUCAGAGCACGUCCUUCCGAGGUGAAGGAACGCGAAACUCCACCCAUCCGAUUGCUGUUCGGCUGCGGGCGGGUCCUUUGGUCGGGCUGACCCUGGGUGAGCGGCCCGGAGCCAAGACUCGAGAAUUACUACCCGGUGCCAGCCCGGGCUGCUUGGGGUCAUCAGCCUUUCAUUGACCACCCCCACAACAAAAAUCACUAUGAACUUGAGACUGUGUUCUAGCAACUUGUGAAUGUGUAACCCAGUAGAAGGGCUGACUGUGCUUGAAACAGACAAGGAUUUUAAGGUCAAAGAGUGGAGACUGCUGCACGGACUCUGGAACCAUGAACAUAUUUGAUCGAAAGAUCAACUUUG